UACAGAGGGUGCAAGCGUUGUUCGGAAUUACUGGGCGUAAAGCGCGUGUAGGCGGCGCUGUAAGUCCUGUGUGAAAGCCCCGGGCUCAACCCGGGAAGUGCGCAGGAUACUGCAGUGCUAGAGUGACGGAGAGGAUGGCGGAAUACCCGGUGUAGAGGUGAAAUUCGUAGAUAUCGGGUGGAACACCUGUGGCGAAGGCGGCCAUCUGGACGUCAACUGACGCUGAGACGCGAAAGCGUGGGUAGCAAACAGG
rnacentral:rRNA from 1 species